UAGGUUUAGGCAACAAAACUACAACUUCUUUAGGUUUAGGCAAUAAAACUACAACUUAUUUAGGUUUACGCAACAAAACUACAACUUCUUUAGGUUUAGGCAAUACAACUACAACUUAUUUAUGAUCAAGCAAUAAAUAUACAACUUCUUUAGGUUUAGGCAGUAGAACUAAAACUUAUUUAUGUUUAAGCAACAAAACUACAACUUCUUUAGGUU